rnacentral:rRNA from 1 species
AUGAGUUCCACCGGAGGCGUCGCCGGCCGCGGCAAGGCAAAGGCGACCAAGUCGGUGUCGCGGUCGUCCAAGGCCGGGCUCCAGUUCCCCGUCGGCCGCAUCGCGCGCUACCUCAAGGCCGGCAAGUACGCCGAGCGUGUUGGCGCCGGCGCCCCCGUCUACCUCUCCGCCGUCCUCGAGUACCUCGCCGCCGAGGUGCUGGAGCUGGCCGGGAACGCGGCGCGGGACAACAAGAAGACCCGGAUCGUGCCGCGGCACAUCCAGCUGGCGGUGCGCAACGACGAGGAGCUGAGCAAGCUGCUGGGCUCGGUGACGAUCGCCAACGGCGGCGUGAUGCCCAACAUCAACCAGGUGCUGCUGCCCAAGAAGGCCGGGCCCAAGGGGGAGCUGGGCUCGGCCUCCCAGGAGUUCUGA